UGCUAGAUUGGGAUGUGAAAUAAGCAUUGAUAUGAAACUUGACAGUGAAGUUUAACGUUUCAAGCCUCGUGGAUGCAUGGAAAAGCGCGUUUGAGUUAAAAGUGAUUGUUGUGCGUACCCCUCACUUCCUACAUGUAAGCUAAUGAAGCUACAGGACGAAAGCCUACUGAGGAACGGGUGAAUGUAAAAUUUACAGUAGGCCCCAGGCUACGCAUGGAGGAAUAAAAACGCUAGCCUAACUGACUGCAGCUAAAAACCCAGUGUUAUUUUGAAGUCUCUGUGAUGGUGGCAUGUAUCAGCAGUCAGCACCAAUGAACAGGCAGAGGAUGUCAGGUCCUAGCAAGCAGACCGCCAGUCGGAGGCUGCCCCCUCUGCCUGCUCACAAGCGGAGCCCGGCCCCCACCAGCCCCCAUGCACCCAGCAAAGGCCACUCUGUCUACCUGGGGCCCAGUCCGCCGAGCCACCGAAUGGAAGGGAAGUAUGCCCAUAUCCAAGGGCAUUAUGGCUACGGGAUUGCCCGCUCAAACCAUGACCGUAUGAUAGUUACAGGGCAGUCAUCCACCCUGAGUAAUGGUAUUGGCCGGCAUCGUGGGAUUCUGUCACAUCCAUCAUUCAGCGAAUCCGUUGAUAUUAUGCCAGAUCACAUUCUCCAAGAGCAGGUGCGGAGCUACCUCAAUGAAAACCCGGCAUUUCUGGAGGAUUACGUGCUAAGUCACGUCGACUAUGACAUACUGGAGAGGUGGACCGGUCAGGUCCGUGCCCAAAAGCACAAAGUCACCUACAGCAGGUCCAGAAGUAUGUCUCGGGAGAACUCUGGGAAAAGUGGCUCAAGCCAGGGCACAGGUCCUCCGUCACCCAAGCCCCAGCACUGGAAGAAAGGCGUAACACUCCACGACAGGAAGAAACUAGUGCAUGAGUUGACCCAGGACUUGCAGCACUACGCCAGCCGGGUUCGCAUCUUGCAGGAAAUGGCAAAGUGUGUGGCUUCUCAGAUCCAGGCAGACGGGUUCACACUCUAUCUGGUGACUGAGAGAGGGACAGAACUGUAUGAAUAUAAUGCGGACCACAAGGGAGAGGAGCCUGGCAUUACCUGGCCCAUAGGAAAAGGCAAAUCCUUGGCAGGUUAUGUCGCCCAUACUCUGCAUACAGUCAAUACGACAGAGAUUCACACGGCUGAUUAUCCAGAGGGUGUGGUGGCAGAUGGUGUGACAGCAAGCACUGUUCUUGCUCUUCCCGUCUUACAAGCAAAUGAGGAUUUAGUAGGAGUGCUAGAAUUCUACCGUGACACUGAUCAAGGGCACGCCUCGUUCACCGAUGAAGCACAGGAAACAGCAAGUGCCUUCCUUGUGUGGGGGAGCAUUGCAGUUCAUUACGCUCAGAUGUGUGUCAGCAUGAGUAAGCAGAGAAAGCUGAAUGACUUCCUCUUGACUGUAACCAAGUCGAUUUUUCAAGACAUUAUCAGCAUGGAUACAGUCAUCAUGAAGAUCAUGAACUUUGCACAGAAGUUGGUGUCAGCGGACCGCGCUUCACUCUUCCUCGUCGACAACAAAACCAGAGAGUUGUAUGCUAGAAUAUUUGAUGUUGGCAACGGUGUUGGAAUGCAAGUUGUAGAAAAUGAACAAAAAGAAAUCAGGUUUUCCAUGGAUAAAGGUGUUGCUGGUUACGUAGCUUCCACUGGGCAAGUUCUUAACAUCCCUGAUGCCUAUCUAGAUGAACGCUUCAACAGGGAUGUUGAUCAACAGACCGGCUACGUUACUAAGACUAUUCUGUGUAUGCCGAUAUACAACAGAGGAAAUGUGAUCGGUGUGGUGCAGAUGGUGAACAAGAAACAAGGAUACUUUACCAAAGUUGAUGAACAAGCCUUUGAGACCUUCGCUGUAUUCUGUGGUUUGGCUCUGCAUCAUGCCAAGCUUUAUGAUAAAAUCCAUCGAUCGGAGCAGAAACACAAAGUUGCCCUGGAAGUGUUGAGCUACCAUAGUCAGUGCUAUGAAGAAGAUCUGGAGAACUUGAAAAAAGUUGCAUUGCCAGACCCCAUGCCUCAACUUGCAAGGUAUGACUUCUCCCCAUGGGGAUUGGAUGAAGAAGCCAAGCCACUCUACGUGCUGUGCAUGUUCCAGGAUAUGUUCACUCUGAACGGCAAUGAUGAUGACAACUCGCAGAGCUUUGAUUAUGAAGACUUGUGUCGGUUUAUCCUGACUGUGCGUAAGAACUACAGAAAGGUUCCUUACCACAAUUGGACACAUGCAUUCUCAGUCGCUCAUAGUGUCUACACCAUCAUUAAGACCUGCCAAGAAGAAGUUUUCACCCCCGUUGAGUGUCUGGCCCUGUUUGUGGCCUGUCUGUGCCACGACCUGGAUCACCGGGGCAAGAACAACUCCUUCAUGGUCAACAACGCCACGCCCUUAGCAGCGGUGUAUUCCACAUCUACCAUGGAGCAUCAUCACUUCAACAUGACCAUCACCAUUCUUCAGAAUGAUGGACACAAUAUCUUCAAGCACCUGACGUCAGACGAGUACAAGCAAGUACUGAGUGACAUACGACAUGCCAUCCUCGCCACCGAUCUGGCCCUGUUCUUUGGGAACAAGGCCAAACUGAAGGCCAUAGUGGAGGCGGGCCAGUUCUCAUGGGAAAACCAGGAGCACAGAAAGCUGUUGAAGGCUAUUGCAAUGACGGCCUGCGACCUGUGUGCAGUUUGUAAACCGUUUGAUAUUCAGCGGCAGGUGGCCAGUGAGUGCUUCGAGGAAUUUUACACCCAGGGUGAUGAAGAGAAAGCCCAGGGUCGUAAUCCAAUUCCCAUGAUGGACCGCUCCAAGUCACAUGAACUGCCAACCAAUCAGGUUUCCUUUAUUGUUGGCAUCUGCCUUCCAUGCUAUGAUCUUCUCAGCCAACUUGUUCCAAAUGCCAAGCCAAUGUACGACGGAGCAGCGAGGAAUUUGCAGAACUGGUCAGCCAUUGUCGCCAAGCAGAAGGCAGAAGAAGAAGAAAAGUUGAAACAGGAGGAGAAUGCCAAGCAUGAGGAUAAACGCCAAGAUGGGGAUCAAAGAGAACCGGACACACCCGCCUCCACAACGGAGAACAAAGACACCACCAAGACAGCAACCACUGCAAAGAAUCACACUGCAAGCACAGAGCAGCCAAAACAGCCUGACCCAAGCAAAGACAACCAGGGUAGGAGACGGACAGCAAACGAUACGAAGCAGAGGUUGACAGGAAAUGAUGGGAAGGAGGCGGUUAUCAAAGCCACCAACAAAGACGGUGAGAAACUUGAGCAGACUCAAGUGCAAAAUCAAGAUGCCAAAGGUACAAGCAGCAGAUCAAGCAUCAAAGCCAAGAAGUCUGUUGAUCCGGAUCAUCAGGCAGAGCAAUAACAUGGACCCAGUGACUUGUAUGAUAGUUGUUAUGUGUGGAAGGUGUUGAUGUGUGUAUACAGUCCACACAUAUCUUGAAGGAUGUUACAGAAUCACAUAUGCUGCUGAAUAUGCAUGCUGAUCACAACUAUGACAAAUGAACUUUUCAGUCAGUAUAUUUAAACAGCAUACUUUUCCUGUUACCUAACAUAAAUACAAGAUUUGCGACAUUAUUCCUUGCAAAGAUGAUGUCUGUUUAAAUGGCACUUUAAAUUGAUUCAUCAAAAUGCCCACACUGUCUCAAAAGUCAGUCAUUUAUGAAGAUUAUCUAUAUCUUGGAUACACUUUUUCAAAGUCUGUUUCAACUGUUAUCAACCUGUUUUGAAAAUAACUUUACCUCCAUGCGUAGAGGUUGUUAAAAUAGCUGUACCUCCAUGUGUAGAGGUUGUUAAAAUAGCCGUACCUCCAUGUGUAGAGGUUGUUAAAAUAGCCGUACCUCCAUGUGUAGAGGUUGUUAAAAUAGCCGUACCUCCAUGUGUAGAGGUUGCUAAAAUAGCUGUACCUCCAUGUGUAGAGGUUGUUAAAAUAGCUAUAUCUCCAUGUGUAGAGGUUGUUAACAGUAUUAGGUAAUCUACUUUUCAAGCAAAAAUCCACUGCCGUAACCCUAGCCGCCUUGGGAUUUGAGCUUUGUACCUUGUAGCCUGAGUGUCAUCCGUUGUUCAACAGAACUUGCAGCUCCAAAACAAUGUCUUACAUAUGUGAGCAUUCAAAUUUUAUUGGGACCCAUGCUCUGGCUCAUAGGAGUCGACUUUAGAAACAGUGGUGUCAUUUUGAGUGCUGAAUCUGCUGAAUGCCUUGAUUGGUCAGUUAGUGUUAACUGAUCAUACUUUGUCAAGUGACCAAAUCAGCUGACCAGGUUUAAGUGUCUACCAGGGAAAGCAUGUCUGAGAGUGUUUCAGACCUGGGAAAUGUGUUUUUCUGUAGUUUUGGGAUGGCAAAUACUGACACAAAUACAAACCAACUUCAGCCGAACUACACAUACGUAGGCUAAACCAGUCUGUUUGGCUCAGCAUGUACAAUAUACACAGGAGUGAUUUAUGUGUGUUGUGUCUUAAACGUCAUUGAGUUAAAGGCCAAAGGCCCAAGAUGUGUCUGUUGAUUGGUCAAAAUCAGGACAAGCAGGCGUCAUCUUGCAAAAUUAAUCAGGAAGUAUGCAGAAGUCGUCUAUUACAUAGACUCAGGACUUUCUGGGAUGCUUGAAAUCCUCCAAGAAACCAAGACACUUCUUUUUGCUGUUGCUUUCACCGUGUGUAAAGCCACGAGAAAUACCCUUCUCAAUCCUGAUAAAAACAUUCAGAUGGAUUUCAAAGGAUGUUGAAGGGAUAGGUUAACCACUUACUACCAGGGAGCCCGGUUUCAGAGACGUUGGUUUAUAUGCAUUGCCGGGGUGCCUGAAAUCGACAAAAGAGCUGGGCCUUGUAACCAAAGACCGUACUCGGAACAAAAGACCGAGCUGCUGGGAAUUGCCAGUAGUUUUUCAGUUGUCAAUAGCGUCAUUGUUUUGACAGAUUACACCACUGUCUGCGGCAUUCAGUGCGAGCGGAUUACCACCGGGGACAAAAGUGCUCCAGUGCUCCAAUGAUGAGUGAUACAGUACCGCUGCGAUGUUGUCUGUCAGAUUAGAGUAGUCACCAGACAGUCAUUUGUGCGGGUUUUAACGUUGAGUAAAUGAAGUUGUGAAUUUGUAAACAAUUUUGAAUUUUUAAACAACAGAAAAAAAUGAAAAAUUACCCAGCCCAGCAGAAUCAACAUGGAUAAAUGGACCCGGCACAAAGUGGUCAACAGUGAGGAAGUAUAGCAAAAUAAGCCAUGUGCACAAGGCGAUAUUUUUAUGCUUGCAACCAAAGUUACCAAUUUGUGACCCACCAUCCCCAAACCAGGCUGAAGUCAGUAUUUAAUGUUGGACAGUUCCUCUCCUUCAGUUUUUUUUUACACUUUCAAGUGAUCCAUGUUAAAUCAAAAUACUGUCUGCAGAAAGCUUCUUACGGGUAG